UUGUCCCUCGGGCACAUCUGAUAAAAUUGGAACGAUACAGAGAAAAUUAGCAUGACCCUUACGCAAGGAUGACACGCACAAAUCUAGAAAUGGUCCAAAAAAAA